rnacentral:rRNA from 1 species
GACGAACCGUGCGAACGUUGUUCGGAAUCACUGGGCUUAAAGGGCGCGUAGGCGGUCCGACAAGUCAGGGGUGAAAUCCUGCAGCUUAACUGCAGAAGUGCCUUUGAUACUGUCGGUCUGGAGGGAGAUAGGGGUGUGCGGAACUUCCAGUGGAGCGGUGAAAUGCGUUGAUAUUGGAAGGAACGCCGGAGGCGAAAGCGGCGCACUGGAUCUCUUCUGACGCUGAGGCGCGAAAGCUAGGGGAGCAAACGGG